UACGUAGGUGGCAAGCGUUGUCCGGAUUUAUUGGGCGUAAAGCGAGUGCAGGCGAUUCAAUAAGUCUGAUGUGAAAGCCUUCGGCUCAACCGGAGAAUUGCAUCAGAAACUGUUGAACUUGAGUGCAGAAGAGGAGAGUGGAACUCCAUGUGUAGCGGUGGAAUGCGUAGAUAUAUGGAAGAACACCAGUGGCGAAGGCGGCUCUCUGGUCUGCAACUGACGCUGAGGCUCGAAAGCAUGGGUAGCGAACAGG
rnacentral:rRNA from 1 species